rnacentral:rRNA from 1 species
GAUGAACGCUGGCGGCGUGCUUAACACAUGCAAGUCGAACGAGAAGUGAAGACGGAAACCUUCGGGCGGAAGGCUUUAUUUCGAGUGGCGGACGGGUGAGUAACGCGUGGGUAACCUGCCUCAUACAGGGGGAUAACAGUUGGAAACGACUGUUAAUACCGCAUAAGACCACAGCACCGCAUGGUGCGGGGGUAAAAACUCCGGUGGUAUGAGAUGGGCCCGCGUUCGAUUAGCCAGUUGGCGGGGUAACGGCCCACCAAAGCGACGAUCGAUAGCCGAUCUGAGAGGAUGACCGGCCACAUUGGGACUGAGACACGGCCCAAACUCCUACGGGAGGCAGCAGUGGGGAAUAUUGCACAAUGGGGGAAACCCUGAUGCAGCGACGCCGCGUGAGUGAAGAAGUAUUUCGGUAUGUAAAGCUCUAUCAGCAGGGAAGAAAAUGACGGUACCUGAGUAAGAAGCCCCGGCUAACUACGUG